CUUUUCCUUCACCCUCCAUCUCAAAGAAUGCAAAUUCUUCAGGUAAACUUUCAUCUCUACUUCAACAAUCAAUUCAAAAACUUCCAUCUUCAAAUUCAAUCCCUAAACAAUCCCAUCUUGAAUCUUUCCUCACUUUCAAUUCUAAACCAUCCAACAUAAAUCUCAAUGAUGCAUCAUACUACUUCGAUUGCAUGAUUCUCCUACAGCCAUUGCCCCCUAUUUCUUCAUUCAAUCGAUUGCUUAAUUCUGUUUCCAAAAUUAAACAUCAACAUAAAGUUGCAAUCUUCUUUUAUCGUAGGAUGAACAAAGCCCGGAUUGAACCUAAUUUAAUCACCCUGAACAUUCUACUUAAUUGUUAUUGUGAUAUGAAUCAAGUCGAGUUCGCUUUUGGGAUUUUGGGUUUGAUUUUGAAGAGGGGUUUUACUCCUGAUAAUGUUACUUACACUACUUUGAUUAAAGGGUUGUUUAUGAAAGAUAAGACUCAUGAGGCUGUUAGAUUGUUCAAGAAAAUGAGUAGAUUAGGUGUUAGGCCUCAUGUUAUGACUUAUGGGACUUUGAUUAAUGGGUUGUGUAGGGCUGGAAAAGUUGAGGCUGCUGUUAGGUUUCAUGAAGAGAUUAUGAAUGGGAAUAUUGGAUUAGGGUUUGUUUCUAAACCUAAUGUGGUGUGCUAUAGUAUAUUGAUUGAUAAUCUUUGUAAAGAUGGAUUAGUAAGCAAAGCGAAAGAGCUUUUCUUGGAGAUGAAGAGUCGAAAAAUCUCACCGGAUUCGGUUGCGUACACUUCUUUAAUUCAUGCUUUGGUUUAUUCGGAUAAGUUGGAAGAGGCUAAAUGUUUGUUUAUUGAGAUGUUUGAUGAAGGGAUUAGUCCUAGUGUAAUUACGUUUAAUCUUUUAGUAAACGUGCUUUGCAACAAAGGGCGGUCUAAUGAUGCAUGUGAGUUGUUUGAUAAAAUGCUUCAAAGAGGCAAACAACUUGAUUCUUUGUCGUAUAACACAUUGGUUCACGGAUAUUGUUUGGAGGGUAAGAUCGAUGAUGCAAGGGAGCUUUAUGUUUCAAUGGUGGAUAAAGGUAUCGAACCUGAUGUUAGAACUCACAAUAUACUUAUUAAUGAGUAUAUCAAGAUUAGGAGAAUAGAGGAAGCUAUAUGGAUCUUUAGGCAAAUGAUUUUUAGAAAAAUUAAGCCUACAGUCGUUACCUACAACGCUUUAUUAACGGGUGUUCUUCAAAAAGGCGAUGUUUUGGCUGCACAGAAACUGUUUGACGAAAUGCAGCUUCAUGAUCUCACUCCAAGUUUGUGUACAUAUAACAUCUUAUUAAACGGGCUUUGUAAGAACGAUUGUGUUUUACAGGCUCUAGACUUCCUUCAAACUCUAGAAAACAAUAGGGUUGAUUUGUGCAUCAAAGCCUACAACUCUGUGAUUGACGGAUUGUGUAAAGCUGGUCGGAUGGAAACCGCUUGGGAUGUAUACACGAAAUUGUCUUCCAAAUGCUUGGUACCAACUGUGGUAACGUACACUAUCAUGAUUCAUGGUUUUUGCAAAAAGGGUCGGUUAAAAAAGGCGGAUGAUUUGUUUUCAGAAAUGGUAGAAAAGGGUUGUUCUCCAAAUGCGGUCACUUUCAAUGCAUUUAUGCGAAAUCUCUCACAUCAAGAUAUGGCACCAAAAGUUGUUGAGCUACUUAAGAAAAUGGUGGAAAAUAAAGUGACCCCAGAUGCAUCCAUGGUCUCUUUGGUCGUGGAUUUAUUAUCAAAAGAUGAGAAAUACAUAAAGUAUUUGGAUAUGCUUUCGAUGUUUCCUGAAGCGGGCUAACCACAGGCAUUGCUAGAAUUAUAUAAUAUCUAAUGAAUUUUGUAUUAGUGAUUGAAGGAAGACAACUUCUUCUGUAAGAGAACAGGAAACAGCAAAAGGAUAUGAUGGAAAACUACCAUCGUCAACUGUUUUAUUGUCACAUAACCGGUUUCUUACAAAGUUUGAUCUGUGAAGUUUACCAUCCAUUCGGGCUCCAUAUCCAAUAGUUCACGAACGCAGGGAAUGGAGAUGGAGCAGCAGAAUGCUGUUUGAGAAAAUUUCAGCAAGCUGGUGAAAGUCGAUAUCCGUGAGGCAGGCAAGGGUUGCACAAUGACAACCGAUAUCCUUAUGAAGAUUUAGUCCAAACUUUUCCGCUCCAAUUCAAGAUACGGGUGAGAUUAUCAAACCAUCAUGUGGGUAUUGUUUCAUAUGCAUGACAAUAUACUUUGAGGCGAUAUGGUUUGACUUUUGAGGUCAAACAGAUUCGGUUUUUUCAACUUAAGUUACAAAGCUCUCAACUAGGUUUUUGGCCAUGGUGGUGUUGUAGUAGCCAACCACCUUUCUUUCCUCUAUAUUUGUUAUUGUAUUCUGUAGAAAGCCAUGUCCAAUGUUUGAAAUAGUGAAACUAUCUCAUACACCUAUAUCCAUAUUUGCAUUC